UACGAAGGGGGCUAGCGUUGCUCGGAAUUACUGGGCGUAAAGGGCUCGUAGGCGGCCCACUAAGUCCGACGUGAAAUCCCCAGGCUUAACUUGGGAACUGCGUCGGAUACUGGUGGGCUUGAAUCCGGGAGAGGGAUGCGGAAUUCCAGGUGUAGCGGUGAAAUGCGUAGAUAUCUGGAGGAACACCGGUGGCGAAGGCGGCAUCCUGGACCGGCAUUGACGCUGAGUGAGCGAAAGCCAGGGGAGCAAACGGG
rnacentral:rRNA from 1 species